ACAUCAAGAAAAACACUUGAUUACAUUUGUGAUCAUAAUCUUCAUUCCUAAAAGAAGAAAUCAAAGUCUUCUUCAUCCAUAUUCAAUAUUCCCUUUGUGUUCUUCGAGUUUUAGAGAAUUCAUACAAGUGCUUAAGUAUUGAUUCUCUACAAGGCUUGAUUACUCCUACAAAUCGUUUGCCGUGAGACCCUUUAAGCAUUAAAAUUAUAUCCGAGAGGGAGCAAAUAUCGUUUGAGAACAGCGAUAUAAUGUUGUGUUUAAACCUUCAUAUUUAUUAUGAUUUUCUUCUUAUUUUCAUCUUCUUGAUUAUUUUUAUAUAUUGUUUCUUUUCCAUUUUCCUUGAUUGAUGCAAAUUUUUGAACAUUUUUUUGCAACAUUUUAUUCAUAUGGUGCCAUCCAUAUGAGCAUUCUAAAGGGGUUCUCCUCUGUACACACAGACUAAUUCCCUCUCUAUCUUUCUUAUUAUCCGUUAGAUUUUUUUUGAAAGAGACUUCUGAAAUGCAGUGUGGUAUCCAAAGCCUUCCAAACUAACCUUAAUUUUCUCUUUUUAAAGAGACGAAGUGACGUCUAGAACGUGUUUUCUUCAUCCUGCUGCGAUUUACAGCAGCUUUCUUCAAACGAGUCCUAUAGUAGAAGAUAUGUUCCAUUGGCAAGCAAUGAUUAUGAGACCUUCUGAUAGUCCUUAUUCUGGAGGUAUGAAAUAUAUAUGACCCAGUACCGAGCAAUAUUUUGUAGUCAAUUGCAAGAUUAUGAGUGAGAAAGUGUCAGAACCAAGCAAUAAACGAAAGUGGAACAAAAAAAGGUUCAAAAUAAAGCAGGUACUGGUGCUGCUGAAACAUUUAAGUGCUGUGCAGUUUGUUCAACAGAUGUGGGAGUAAUAGACAAGGAAGAAGUUUAUCAUUUCUUGAAUGUUUUUCCAAAUGUGGCUAAACACAGAUCGGCUGAUAUUUAAACUGUUUUAGCUUCAUACCAAGGUCAUGAUAUUCCCAAAGAGUUCAUCAAACAAUCUAAAGAGCAUCAAAAGUCAGUUAUCCUCUUCAUCGUAUAUCUCAUUGUCGAUUUUCUAUUGGAAAAAUCCCGAGCACAGGAUAGGUAAUUGAGAGAUAAAGCUAGCCUAUACAUUAGAGGAAAUCUAUUAUUACAUGGUGCCACCAUAAAGCGAUAGCAAUCAAAUUCUUAAGCAUGCAACAUGAUGCUAGCCUGAAUAAAUCUGGGAUGGUUGGGCUAUUGUUGAAGCAUACUGUUGGCAACUUUGAUCCCCUAUAUGUUGUAAAUAUGUUGCCAAAUGACUUGGAGAUUCCUCGAUAAGUAUGUUCUCUACUUUUUUUUUUAUCGUUCUAGUGGUUAGUUUGCAUAACUUCUUUUUCUACAAUUACAAGAACAUUUUUCAUGUUGAAUGCGAUGUGGAUGAAAAACUUUUUGGGUUUUC